GCGUAGGGACCGAGCGUUGUCCGGAUUUAUUGGGCGUAAAGCGCGCGCAGGCGGCCGUGCAAGUCGGGUGUGAAAUCCCCAGGCUUAACCUGGGAACUGCAUUCGAGACUGCAUUGCUAGAGUAUGGGAGAGGGAAGUGGAAUUUCAGGUGUAGCGGUGAAAUGCGUAGAUAUCUGAAGGAACAUCAGUGGCGAAAGCGACUUCCUGGACCAAUACUGACGCUCAUGUGCGAAAGCGUGGGGAGCAAACAGGA
rnacentral:rRNA from 1 species